AAGGCGGUCACUGUUGCAGAGCGAGUGGUGCUGGCUUGUUCUGUGGGUGGUGACCCCCCGCCAAAGGUCGUCUGGUUGAAGAACGGCCGCCCUGUAAAACUCAGCGACAGAAUCCGACAGCUUAACACUGGGUCCUUGGUCAUAUACGACUUUACAAAUACAGGUGGAAGGACAUCUCUUGUGAAAGCGAUAGCCGCGGCCAACGUCGAAAUAUGUUUGCGAUUGCUUCUUAAAAAGUGGAGGUGCGGACACAAAUCGAGCCGUCUUUGUGUUGACCGAUGAAAAAGAUACUGUCUGGCGCGAUUCACAAAUGUUAAAGACAAAACUAAAAUCCCUUAAAGGUUUGUUAUGAGAAUGUGCUUUAUUACCUUAGAAGCCUAAGGUGAAAAUACUGUUAACACUGCUUUAUAUACGAGAACAUCCUCAUAGUGAUGAAUAUUGAUGAGCCGACCAAUGAAGUCAUAUGUGACAUUAACAUAAUCUUCCAAUUAAUAAGGGAAGCAGUUGAUUAAAAAGAUAACGUUAAAUAAUAUCGAAACGAAAAUUAUUACAUUAAGUUACAUCUUAUC